rnacentral:rRNA from 1 species
CAGCAGCCACGGUAAUACGAAGGGUGCAAGCGUUACUCGGAAUUACUGGGCGUAAAGCGUGCGUAGGUGGUUGUUUAAGUCUGCUGUGAAAGCCCUGGGCUCAACCUGGGAAUUGCAGUGGAUACUGGGCGACUAGAGUAAGGUAGAGGAUAGUGGAAUUUCCGGUGUAGCAGUGAAAUGCGUAGAGAUCGGAAGGAACAUCUGUGGCGAAGGCGACUAUCUGGGCCAUUACUGACACUGAGGCACGAAAGCGUGGGGAGCAAACAGGAUUAGAUACCCGUGUAGUCCCUGUCUCUUAUAC